CUAUUGGUUUCACUGUUGGAAAAGUCCCACAGAAUAUUGUUUUGCUGGUGUCUUCUGUGAUUAAGGUGAAGCCCUUUCAAAUGGUUCUGGCUGUAGUCAGAACACUCAGUAUUUUUCUGAUCAAACCUAGUUCCCUUCUCAGUACUGGAAGCAUGUGCUUACAGUCAACAUUUGUGUCCAUUUUCAUGUUGACAGAGUUGUGACCUCCACAUGACUUUCCCGAAGAGACAUUUCUAUACCACACUGUUUUUUUCUUUAAGUCAGUGCAAUUGGUCAGGGAAGAUCAACAGGUGGGUAGUAGUGCUUAUUUUCACAAGCAGGAGAACUUGAGUCCAAAUCCCUGGCACUCACAUAAAAAGUGGGGUGUGACUGUGUGUGCCUGUCAUCCCAGGCCUGGGGUGGCCAAUGACGAGAGGAUCACUGGGGUUUGCUGGGCACCAGCCUCGAUCCAGGUUUGAUAAGAGAUCUUGUCUCAAAGUAAUAAGUCUGUCUCAAAGUGAUGGACACACAAAGGUCUCCUUUACCCUCCAAACAUAUAUAGUGUCCUGUGUACCAGCACACACACACCAUACACACAAUACACAUUAUAUAAACACACACAAUACAAAACUAAAAAAUAUCAGUACUGCUGCUUAAUCAAGCAGUUCCCCUUCAGAAAUACAGUUUUAUCCUUUUUUCAAAGCAGAGAUCACUUCUCCCUGGAUCUUUCUUUCAUUGCCAUGUUAAAAUCCCCAUCCACUUUUCUUCGUCCCAAUUCUUAUAGCUCAUGGUGCUAUGUUCAUGUGGGAGUUAGUGGUUGGUCCUGUUUUUCUCUUCAUGCAUCCUGUCACUUAGUACAAUCAGGCAGGUUUACAGCUCAUUAUAGACUUGCCUCUUGAUGGGUCAGUUUAAAUGAAGGUUGGUUAAGAAGAAAGAAAGAAAGAAAGAAAGAAAGAAAGAAAGAAAGAAAGAAAGAAAGAAAGAAAGAAAGAAAGAAAGAGAGAGAAAGAGGGAGGGAGGGAGAGAGGGAAGAAAGAAAGAGAGAGAGAGAAAGAAAGGAAGAAAGGAAGGGAAAAAAAGAAAAGAAGAAAGAAGAAAAGGCCAUUCUUCAAAUGAGCCCAAAUUCUCAGGCGUUUUAGUAAUGGACUAUUAACAGCAGCCCAGUUUGUCCCCAUACAUGCUGAAAACAUGGAGCCUGCCUUGGAUAUGGAUGCUUUAGCUAAGAAUAUUCCUCUCACUUCUAUUUUCUUUCACUGUUGAGAAGACUUUAGAAGGUUGCCUUUCAGAGUGAUAGCAUGAAUACUCAGACCAAACCAACCAGGCUCUUUCUAUAAAUGAACAUUCCACGAGCCUAACGUGGAGUAGCAUCCAUUUCACAGCUCAGCCCUAAAUGCCUCCUGGUUGUAAUUAAGUACUUCAAAGUCUUCCAAACACCCUUUUAGAAAUGACUGCCCCAAAUACAAAAUGAUGUCCAAUCAGAUGUAAAUCAUCCCACAGCAGGGAGGGAGAGGCACGGGAAGUAGUCAUCAGCACUUGGACUAAUCAGAAAGUCUGGUCCCCUGAUGAGGAUUUUCGUCUUCUCAUUUGUCAUUCUAGCCACUGAGGUCUCAAGUGGCCAAUUUGCUCCCUAUUGGUAAUCAGCUGGUUAUUUUUACUCAUUCCUCCCUCUGGGACUGUCAGACUCCUUGGAGCAAUUCAUCACCCAUUGGGGCCAAACUCUUCUAUGACGGGAAGUGAGGGAAGAAAGAUAGUAUUCUGCGAAAGAUAAAAUCGAAGAGUAUUUCAUCAUUUAUAUUCAGUUUUUAAACAAUGAUUUCCCCAAUGAGGCUAGAUUCAGAGCAUGGCCGACCAAGCAUGCCCACCAAGAGCAGCCUACCAUCUUUCAAAAUGGGAAGAGGAUCUGGAAGAAAAUAGCAAGGAGAAGCUUCCUCCACACUGCAAGAACAUCAGUGUAGGCUUCAAGAUGCCCAGGGAAACAACCAAGACACAUAUACUGACAAGAAAACUUCCUGCAAAUGUCUCCAACUGAGGGAGGCUCUUGUCCAUUAUGGUGACCAAGACGAAGAGGCAGAGGGGCGUUGCCAUCUUUCAGGACCAUCUCCACUGCAUCCAUAGGGAGGGCUGUUCCAGGAGACAAUGUAAGAAUGUGCCUGUGUGCCCUGUGCCUGCUUCAGGGAAGUGAAGAUGGGCAGCAUCGUUACUGUGGCCCAGUGCAGGGUCCUGAACAGGACUGUAUCCUUCAAUAUCUGGGGUUACUAAGGGCACUGACACCAAGAAGCAGUUCUAUGAAGUCUGAGACCCAACGGUAUCUGACCCCAAACAGAGUUAUUCUCCCACUCAAAGAAAAAAAAAGAGCAACAAGUAUUGAUGGUAGUGGUUUCCAAGCUCAGAGAGUGAAGUGAGAUAAUCCCUGAGGAGCACUGGGCAGUACCUCCGGGGUGUAAUCACUACUAACCAGAACAACUAAAAUACAUGUUGAAGAGUUUCUUGAUUUAAACACUAGAAUCUACAAGAAGACAAUGAACUUUCUUUCAGACUUCUGGACCCUGGGCCUACACAGCCAGUCAUAUGACUGCCUUCCCUCGGCACCUCUCUUUUCACACACUCCUCCAAAAUUGCAUACCACGUGGUGGCCAGUGGGAGGGUCAGGGGCUGUCACAGGUUUGUCCCACAGUUUGACUGGUGCUGGGAUCAGGUCAGUGCAGCUGCCCACAGCUUUGUCACACUCCUAUGAGUCUAUCUUGCGAUGGGAAUGAGAAUCAUUGUCACCGGCCUUAAGAAUCUGAUAACUCCACAUUUUCUCAAACACAGACCAAGGCUCUUCAUGCCAGCAGACAUCAUCAUCUGGAAAUGUGUGUGUGCUCAUGCACGAUUGCAUCCCUGAGGCUGGGGAUGUGCAAAAGCCACAUAAGUUUCUGGCUAAUGGGGAAGGCAGCUGUCACAUUUUCCUACAUCCCUUCCACUCAUACAUAAACCUUAAGGUAGAUUACUGGAAUGCAUUAAAAAUGAAGCCUGAAGCCAGCUCAAUUCUUAGCUGUUUUGCUUCUUUGGGGAAGAAGCUUAACCUUUCUAAAAGUAAUUAAAACUAACAUUUGUUUACAUGUCAAGUACUUCAUAUGUAUUAGUCAUCCAUCCAGCCAUUUGCUUGUUUAACCAGCAUUGAUUGAAUGCCAGCUUUCUGCCAGGCACUGUGGACACAAAGUUGAAUUGGACAUCUUUGCAUCUUAUAUCAUAAAAUUUUAAUAUUGAUGAUGGAGGUAGGGAAUGAGCAAUCAUUUGCAUAUCUAUUUAAUCAUAAUUUGUUGUCAGUUCAUUCAUAAGGACUUGGUAAACUUCAAUUGCUUGACUGAUGAAUUGUGAUCAGUACUAUAAAGCAGGUAUCUAGGGUGAUUCCUUUUUCCAGGUUGGUAGGCAAUGGCCUAAUCUGAAAACUUGGCCAAGACUUCUAAGGAGAAAUAACCUUUGCAUUAUAAAUUUGAAAGUUAGAUGAAGUUUAUAUGUGUAGUCUUAUUUUGGAGAUCAAAAAAUAGUAACUCAGAAGGUCAUAUAACUUGUUGAAAGAGCUGGAGUCUAAAACAAAACAAAACAAAAGAAAAAAAAAAAAACAAACAAACCCAGGACUGAGUACUUUGUCUAGAGGAGACUGCAGUUCUAGAAGUAGGAAAGUUCAAGACCAGGGACAACCUCUGAGGGAGCACCAUAGCAUGUCAUAAGACGGCAUAUGGCAUCACACGGCAGAGCAAAUGUUAGAGCUGAGUGACACUCCUGCAGGAGACAGGGUUGCAUGGCGAGAAGGAGGCAGCUGAGCAAUCCCAGGAACCUGAUGUGCUUUUACAGAAACCAACUUAGUUCCUUGAGACUCAGCCUAGCUACAGGCGAGCAUCCAUCCUUCAGGAAUGGAUCUGAAGGCUCAGCUGGGAAAGUACUCGCUCAGAAAUACAAGGGCCUAGUUCAGAUCCCCAAUAUCCACAUAAAAAGCUGUGCCUGGAAUCCUAGCCCUGGGGAGACAGACAGGAGAAUCCCGGGAGUUUCUGGUCACCCAGUCUAACUGAAUCAGUGAAGUCCAGGUUCAGUUAGAGACCUUAUCCCAAAGAUAAGGUAGAGGUCAAAAGAAGGAGAUGCCCAACAUUGACCUCUGACUGCCAUGAACACGCCCACAUUUGUGCAUAGGCACUCAUACAGAAAAAUAUUCACAUACAUGAACACACACACACACACACACACCCCACAAAGAACUGAGCCCCAUAAUCUAACUACCUAUUCUGCUCCCAUCUCUUAACGUUCCAACACUUUUCAACUGGGGGCAUGAAACCUUGAGGGAACAAAUAAGUCCUGAGCCCUAACACACUGUACUUCCUGGUGUCCAUUUUUGAUAGAUCCAGUUCUAACUCCAGACCUGAUGUUCUUUCUGGCCGGCUGUGGCUGAUGUAAUUAGAAAUAUAUUUUAAUAUUGCUAAAAAUAUUUUUUUCCGAAGCCUAUAAAAUCUGUGGCUGGGGUCUCUGAAGAGAUUCUGGUGAAUCUGGUCCAGUGGACUAAGAAAAGUCAGUGUACAUUUGUGUGGGUUCCACAAGUGAUUGGGUGCAGAGCACUGGGGAAAAUGUUGUCUGGGCCUCCCCGCCACUCUACUCCAGGACUUACAGCACUUCACAGUGCUGUAAGGAAAUACCACUGUAAAUCAAGGCUCUCAACGUCACCCUCAGCCCCAGCACUCUGGACCUUGGGAUCUCCAUGAAGCUAUGGCUACAUCAGUGCUUUUCAACCCUCAGUAAAUGACAGUCAUCUGCCCCAGUCUGGACAACUGGCCCUGAAUCUCCAGGGAAAGAGUCCAGGAAUAGGCACUUACUGGAAGUUUCCAUUUGAUGGAGUCGCAGAUGAUCUCAAAGGUCCCUUCUGACUUGGAAAUCCUCUGCAUCUACGAAAUAAGUCAACACUACAGAACAGUGGCGAACACAGGCAACACUUGAGAAAGCUCAGCUCUGGGGAGUGGGGCUGGGUGCUGACGCAUAGCCAAGACCCGCUGCUCUCCUUGGCAGUGUCUUUGUGAAAAUAGUAACCCUUUUUUUUUCUCCCUGACUGAUUUAUGUGACAGUUGGAAAGCAGCUUCCAGAACAGCAUGUUCCUCCCCUCAGACUAUUAACAUAAACGUGCGCAUGGGCUCCGGGCUCCCACUUCUCUGUGUACACUAGGCUUAAGGGGCCUUGAAAGCCGCAGGCCAGCUGAAGAAAAACCAGAGAGAGGAAGUGUUGUUAGAGACACAAGAAUGAAAAGGGGAAAAGGACAGGAGGUUGCUAAGAGACAAUGUCAAGCUGGGCCAUGGGAUUAACAGCCGAAAUCAAAGCAAGAACUUAAUGGUAUAUUCUUGCAGUAGCAGCCUUCUCCAAGCACAACGGGGAGAGGGUGAUUACCCAAGUAAUUCCACUCCAAAUCAGGCGGAAAGGGCCCCCUUUCCUUCUUGGCCAGAUGAAAUGUAAAGACCAAGUGAUUUAAAAAAUAAUACUAGCUAAUACCAUCCUCAGGCUUAACUGAAGGCUGCCUUGCGAUCUUUUCUUUGCUGCUGAGUACUAAGAAUCACUAAUGCCGAAAUUAUUUUCAACCUGUAGGUUGAGAGUGGUCAAACAUUUUCCGAGAUGUAUUUGGGAGGCUAUGGUUUACCAAAUGACUAUGAUGAUAUUUCAUAGCCCCGUGCUUUUGUUUCACAUAAAUCGGUUUGUUGGAUUUCAGCAACAGCCUUGUGAACUGGUUGUUUGCCCCCUAACCCGGCACCUUUGCAGAAGAAAAGGCAUCAAGAGUCUCAGCAAUUUGUUCAAAACGACUCAGCCACUGGGGAACAAGGAACUGGGGCAGGAGUUCCUAGGAACUGGAUUUGAACCUUGCUCCGGCUGACACCUCACACUCUGACUCAGUUUUCACAUGUGAAAAAUGGAGACACAACGUACAGAGCUGCUGAGCUUAAAGAUAAUACAAUACACACGCUAUAUGUUCCCAAAGUAACUGUAGAUGCUAUGCUCCUCCUCCUCAUUAUCAUCACCACCACCACCACCAUCACCACCACCACCACCAUCAUCAUCAUCACCAUCAUCAUCAUCAUCCUUGUUUUGCAUUUCAUGCUUAGAAUUCUGAGAUACACAGCAAGGAACAAGUGUUUUAGUGGGUUUAGGUAUGCAAGAGGCUAGUUAAAUGGUGAACCUCCUUAGAGAAAUGGAAAAUCUUGCUGCCAUUCAUUGGGCCAAACACCCACCAGCUACCAAGGCAGCAUCCUUUUGGGGUUUAUGAAGGGUCAAGAGCAAGAGACUUCAUGGGGUCAGGUUCUGUUUUACAGCAGGUGCUUGGUAGAGCGGGAGGAACUGGUGACUUCUGUCUGACUAGCUACCAGAAUCCUUUAGGGGCUUGGUCACACAACUUUCUAAGCCCUGGCCCUUGAGUGCCUGAAGCCACAGAUCUGUGAUGGCUCCUGAGAAACACAGGCAAAUGGAAACUUGCAGCUAACACGAAUCAUCAGCCUGCUUCUGAAACCACUGGACAUGGAGCACAAGCUUUAGAUCCAGAGCUUGGGAAGCAGAGGCAAAGACAGAGGCAGAUGCAGUCCAGUCUCUAUAAGUCUGAGGCCAGUUCACACAGUGAGUUCAAGAUCACCCAGGGCUACAUAAUAAAAGCCUGUCAAAAACCAAAACAAAGCAACUAAACAAACAAAGGAAUGAACAAAUCCUACCACCCCCUGGUUGAUAAGACUUGGAAAGCCUUCCUAUUCAUUUACGCCUGGAGGAUUCAGAGGAACUGGUGGAAUUAUGUUUUGAUCCAGAGAGACUAUCACGGUCUUCCAUUGCGCAGGUACACACCAACUUUCAACCUUCCUGGGCUCCAUGCUUCACGUUUAAUACAGUGGCCUGCACUGGUGGAAGAAAAGACCUUGAGAAGGGUUUGUGUGAGGGCAGUGCACAGACUUGUAUACCAGACAGGCCUGGGUUCAGAUCCCAGUGUGGAAUUAAGGAGGGAGAGAGGACACACUCUAGCUGGGAAAAAGAAAGAUAUGGAGUAUGGGGGCUGUGGGCCCACCCUCGAAGGCCAUGAUAUUCAGAGUAUUUAAUGUCACCACCAUCAGCUACAUAAUGCAAGUGAAAAGCCAGCAGGAGAAAUAAAAUCCUCAGUUAUGGUUUAGUAAUUGCUUUCAAGACAGCAGGAAAUAAAAACGCUCCCAAGUCCUUGUAUAGUGGCAUGUUUCCCUUCGUGGACUAGCAUGCACAUGAGUUACAUUUUCAUGGCUGGCUUUAAAUUAGCCUUAAUUUCUCUGUCAAGUAGAGUUAAAGUUCACUGUAAGAUAUUUCAUGGCUUGUCUAAAAGUGAUGAUUUCAAGUCUUCUAAAUAUUUAUGCCAGUGUUAUUAUUUAGGAAAAUAACCAAGAAUAAAAGGCUAGUCUUCACCGCUAUUAUUGGUCUGGGGUUCUAACAUAUGUCCUAAAAUAGUUCAUACUUGGAAAUUGAGUUCUUCAUUAAAAUGCCACUGCAAUUAGAUAUGUACUGGAAAAGAAUAUGAAUGCUGGCCUCUUUCUAUCUACAUAAUCAGAGACAAUAUUCAUAAACUCUUUAAAUAUUUUUUCAUUUUGAUUCAAAGAUAAUUGUAUCUGAUUUUGAUGGUUUCAAGGAAGGUAGAAUGAGAGAACCAAUAUUAAGUGCUGGUAAAAGUUUGGCACAUACUAAAGGCUUACAAAAUAGUAGCACUCAUCUUUGUUUUGGUCCAACUCAAUUUACACUAAGUAUCUGUCUCCUGUGGCUAAGCACCAGUACCUCCCUGGAUUUAUGUCCUCUCAUCUGUGAAAUGGGAAUAAUGAUAUACAUUUACAAUGUUGUCAAUGUGACAUGGGUGAUGACUCCAUGCAAAACACCUUGCAUCCUGCAUAUUAAUCAGUGUUGACUUAUGUGCCAUUUGCAGGGAUGAUGUGCUAUCUUUUUUGUCCAAAACUCUUAAAUCUUUCAUUCAAAAACCAUACCAUACAUUCAUUGGUAUAAGUACAUCUCCAUCUAUUUUGGAGCCCUAGAAACAUAGUAGCCCAAAGGUGUGUUGUCACCACUUUCGGUUCUCAGGGAGGGCUUCCCUUCACUGAGGAAGAGGCCAAGAGCCAAGUGUAAAGAAGCAGUGUUGCACCUAGUGAGACCCCGGGCCCUUUUGCCUAGGGAACUUCCGUUAUUAUCUUCUAAAAUGUUAUCAUCAACCAUAACACUGACUGACACCAGAUACAAUGCAAGAGACUAAGGGCAGAGUGAUUGUGUUGGAGAUUUUAUGACAACUUGACAGAAGCUAAAGUCAUCUGAGAGGAAGGAACCUCAACUGAGAAAAUGUCUACAUAUGUCAGGCUAUAGACAAACUUGUGGGGAAUUUUCUUAAUUAGUCAUUGAUGGGAGAGGGCCCAGCCCAGUGUGGGUGAUACCACCUCUAGGCUGGUGGUCUUGGGUUCUAUUUCUUAAAAAAAGAGCAGUCUGAGCAAGCGAUGGGAAGCAAGCCAGUAAGCAGCACCCCUCCAUACCCUCUGCAUCAGGUACUGCAUCUCUGUUCCUGCCUCCAGGUUCCUGGCCUGUUUGAGUUCUGUCCUGACUUCCAUCAGUGAUGGACAGUGAUGUGGAAGUGUAAGCCAAAUAAACCCUUUCCUCCCCAA